ACUACUCAAAAUAGGAUACCCCUCCCAUGGGGGGACUCCCUUUGCAGUCGUUAGAGAGGUGUUCGUCGUUACACACCUUGCGUCCUACUAGCGGCUCGCACUUGUCACACCACUUGCGUUCUGUUUAUUUAUUUCUCUGCUACCUUAUCUCGUGACAUCAUUUCUAGCACACCUAGACCCCGUACACACUCUCACCAAGCAUACGCAUGCCUAUCGGCGGCAUACCUAAGCGUGUCCCGAUAUCUCGGUCACAGAAAGUUUUCGAGCCUCAUGACGCGAGAGGGGUGUACUAAUUGACGAUUCGACCAGACUGUGUGAUAAGCCACCAAACGGCGGACGUUGGAACAGGUUUGCGAUUGCUGUUGUGUUCAAUGUUGCUUUUAAUUACAUCCAUCCAGUGAAUGAUCGCCGUUUAAUGAAUUUCAAAAGCAAACACAUUCCCCAAUCAGGUGAAGGCUGCUAAUCGCACUGUGACUGAUUUACGCGUGAAGAUGGUAGCUGACAAGGUUCUAAUCCAAUGUUUUAAUCAAUGUAUACCUAUAAUCUAAGGCCUUCAAAAUAGUAUUGGAAUUGGCCCCCGAGUGCGGUAUAAUCUAUCUAAAAGUGCACGCCUGCCAACGACCAAAUUGCUGCAAUUGCAAUUGCAUCCCCAAAAUACGCCAAAUUUGCUCACCAUCGACCGGUUCCGUCUAUCUUCAUUACUCUUGAGUGUCGCGCCAUACUACGAUGCGAUUGUCAAACAAGAUUGACGACGCCCGAAGGCCAUUGAUGUUUAAAUUUAGAUGGAAAACGGUACCGAUGGCUUCCCUGUGAUGUGUGAAGUUGCCUAAAGCUGUGGUAAAUAGCAGCAUUGUUGAAACCUACCAAUUCAUUUUCAAUUCAUUUCAUGUAUACCGCAGAUGCAAAUAUAUUCGUUCGUAAAAAAUGCAACAUUCUGGUCUGUACAAUUGUAUCAUAUCAAACUGCAUAUAGAAAGCCCUUUCAAAGUGUGAUUCAUGUGAUGAGCACCAUCGCAUCCACUGCAUCGCUCGUCACCGUUCGCUGCCCCAAGGGCAAUUACACGAGGUGCGCUGUAAUUGAAAUGUACCUUUUCGCGGCGACAGCUAGAGGAGCCAGUGGCAUCGAUGCAACUAAUCACGACAUGAACGACCAUCACCCAACUGCACAGACAACACAUCAGUUCAUCAGACACACACCGGGAGCUCCGCCUCACCCCCCACUUGCGCUCAUCUCUGCUCCCGGCCAGUAUUGCACUCUAGAGAUUCCCGCGACCGUACAGCUAAUUGAAUUCCUUAUCAUUGUCCCAUACCGUUCCGGUUUCGCUGUGAAGUGUCUGAGGAAGUUCGCGGGAGAAUCGGUCAAUGCUUCACGACUCCCAUUAGUAAGAACUCGCACACCGUAUCCACUUAAGACACGUCGGCAAUCGACCAAUUCGACCAGCUAUAACAGCGACAACCAUGCCAUGACAGCUAACCUACUGUUCGAACAACAACACAACAUGCACUGCGAAACUGCGAGAUGAAUGGCUGGCGGGAUUUCUCGAGCGGAACCGAAACUCCAUUUCGGUCUUUUAGCGUUUUCACCUUGGUAUGCUCACCAUUGUUACUCGCUGCACACAACCAGCGUCACGGUGAUGAUGGAAACACACCACACCCUCGUGCAAACGAACUAUCGCGGUCAGUGCUACAGUGUUGACGCAUGUUGAGCUCAAACGGCAAACUAUCAAGCGACCACUGGCGUCACAUUGAAUCACUAAACUGGGAAGUUGACGAAUUCAGAAAAAAAAAUCUAUUAAGAUUCUUCAUUCGCUUAAUCACGCAUGACACAACCAACGGUAUGCGAACUCCGCAACACUUGCAAUCCCUGCACAGCAACACAAGUGCCCGCAUUCCUUGCGGUUAUUGGGACAGCAACACACGCUCCAACAACACGCCGGUAGUUGCCCCUCUGAGUUGAGUCGCGCCAAACUGUCACGCGAAACGUACUGUCGCGACGUUUCAGAAACGACGAUUGUGCCCGUCGCUGCGCUAUCAGCACUAGGGCAGCCUUUAUGCGUGUAUAUGUUCUAGCUGGAGGCAGCCGAUAGCUCACAGUGAUCGCAGCGAUUGAAUGACUUUUAUGUGCUCCGUUAAAUUGUAGUUCACAAGGCAUAAUCUUGAUAACGUGCGCAAUACACAUCGCAACACCCAGUCGUGCAAUCUGUCGACUAGAAAACUUCCCAACAAUUGGACCAAAGCUCCCGAUCGGAUCACUGGAAGGUAGGCAGCAGCAGUAGCAACUAGUGACGCGAUCCACUCUCCAAUGCUAUGUUUAAUGCAGUUAUUUUAAUCGACCACCAGUAGCCAUAGUAUAUCCUGCACUAGACUACACCGCAAUCGUCAACACGCUGGCGACAAUGAAUGGCGAUAAGCAUUCAGCGGAGCGUCUCACCGGCAUCAUGACUCACCAUAUGACCAAUGGUGGGUUCCUGCUAAAUGGGGCCUACGAAAUGUUAUGACACCAUCUACUUCCCCCUUCGUUUGCAUGUUUUACUUCGCUAGCGUACCAUCGUACAACGUGCCUCUGACGUCAGCUGGCUGGCUGGCUGGCUGGGUUGUAUCAGAUCAGCCUCCCCACAUAAACAACAUGCCGUUCUUCGUCGCUGUCACGAAUGGUUGACUCUCGUUGCUUGCACACGUAAGAUGAGACGCGCGCCACCAUCGAUGAAAUAAUAAUCAAAUUGCACGGCGACCUUUAUCCCAUUGUUAAAAGCAUGGCCAGCCGGCCGCACAGAUUGUCUGCCAGACGGAACAAGCGGCAUUUCAAGCGUGCUAUUCGCAGUUCCUCGUUAAAUAGCUGAUAAAUGGUUUCGCGAGCGACAUUUUACCAAGAACGUACACGCCUCGCAAAAUCCUUAUGACUCGUUGUCGAGAUGUGGUACGCGAUUGGCGUCACUGCCAUUCACUACCAGAGAGAGAAAGGCGACUACUUGCGUUAUCGGGGUGUCGUGACAUGUGAGUAGUGACGGCAGAGCGCGUCUGUCCGUCAACCACCACCUUAUAAUGACACUCGGAAGGUGGUGCACUCUAUGUGAAUUGGUACAUGAAUCAUAUUUCGCUCCAAGAUCCACUAAACGAUCGAUUUGGCUAUUGUCGAACGGCUAUUUUUUUGCCCUUUCCGAACCAAUUUCUGACGCAUCUUUUGACGCAAUUGACGCAGCCAAGGGAAACGGAAUCUUUAUACGUCAAAUGAGCAGCGGCCAAUCGACGAAUAAACUUGGCUGAAUGAGAACGAGAGGACGGACGGAUGCGGUAGCACCACCGAUAUAUGUUGCUGACCCAUUUAAGCCCGCAUAGACGCGCUCUGUUGUCGGGCGACGUACUCCACCACUUCCGAUUGGCGAGAAGUAUCACUAGGCACGCAACUAGACACACAGUUUCUUCGUUUAGCUCGUUCGGUCAGCACCAAAACACCGCACGGACGCGUGUCCAUCAGUCAUUAGAGGCUGUGUGUGCUGUGCAUGUCACUCACCCAACCGAGGGCGGUGGUAGCCAGACGAUUGGACAGGCACGCGAUCGAAGCACAGAACAGGGACCAAACCAACGCAAGGCACGCAGCAAUAGAGCACACGAAGGGAGAGGAGAGUGAGAAGUAAGGAAGGUUAGCUCAUCCUCACUCACUGUAACACAUCUGGGCAGGCCGCUUGCGUCCAUGGCAUACUGUGAGAUGAAUGGGUCCGCUGCUCUGGCCCACGUUAAUGGUACGCGUGCUACCGGCUACUUAGAUGCAGGUGGACGCGAACGACGACGAGGCGUCCCUUUUCUUGGUUCGCUCUCGUUCGCACGCAAUGGUGGAAUGGAUCCAGGAAGACGAUUCAGAAAUAGGACGCAAUGACAAGUGGCUAUCGCCCCCAGGGGGCGAUUUCCAAUGAAAAACAAAUGGUUACAAGACGACCACUGCCCCCUCUCAUUGACACUCUGGCCCAUAGAUGCCAGGAUUAGUGUGCAUGUGCUCCGUGAUACAAUCUUCGUCAGGCCCGAUCUUCCAACGGUGCUAAGCAUUCGAACAUUGCCACGUAAAGGCUCGAUUUAUGUUCACAAAUUAUGGUCCAUCUCGUCUACCACGGUUGUUUCUGUCCGUUAACAUCAAAGUAGAGGCUGAUGAGGAAUGUGGAACGUUUUCUAAAAUAGUACGUCCCCGCACCGACCUAGCACCAGAACUGGUCCCACCGACCGAUGGGGUCGUUGCGUUUGUUUCGCAUAGUACCGAGUGAGCAUUCCUCCUUCUUUGCCGAUCCCUAAAAAUAGAUCCAAAUAACAACGCUUCCAUGCAGCAGCAGCAGCCGCCACAGCACCGGCUACCGGACACUAGAACACCCUCCUGGGGUACAGGUUGCGAUCGGUGUGUUGCGCUGCUUCGGGCGAUGGUUAAAUGUUCGGUCGUCGGUUAGUCCGCUGAACGGCAAGCAGCAGCAGCAGCAGCAUCCUCUACUCAUCGCGGCGAACGCACGCUACUCCACCCAGCACAUAUUGUGUGCAGCUCACGUUCGAAAAGCAUGUUUAACGACGAAGGAACAGCAAUAUCAGCAGGAGCAGCAUUUGAACCCGCGUCCAAAGCUGCAACCAUAAAGAGUUCUCUCUGCAAUGAAAUUUAUUUUUAAAACAUAACGACGAAUAUCGUAGAACCGCUGAGGGUAACCGCAUUCUCAGGGCAGAGGGGAGAGAGAGAGAGAGAGAGAGAGAGAGAGAGAGAGAGAAAGAAAGAUCAUUGCUUCACAAUGCGUCUUUGUAGUGUGUUGCUACUCCUAAUCCCGGAUCCUACUCCCGGAUAGACAGAAUCCAACUAGGACGGACUCUGUAGUGUAUUCAAAUGAUGGAAAACUAACCAUUUAUCCCACGGUGACCCACCCCCUCUAUGAUCCAUUUUCAACUCCGUACGGAAGGGACAUCGGACGAUCGUCGUCCAAAAACCCAUUAUGUCACCCACGGCUGGCGGAACUAAUAAACAGAUCGGCAUAAUUAAAUCUGUUGAAUUACCAAAAUAGAAACAUAUAUAAAAGAUUGCCAAAAUUUGAACUGAUGAUGAGGCGCCUGCCGUUUAAAAUAUUAUGCGGGAAAAGGAAAUAAAAAAACGACAACAACUACCACUACAGUCGUACAGUAGUAAAACAUUCGCGAUCCGUUUCCUUUUUGUUAUGAGUUUAUAAUUUUAGUUUUUUUGAACAUUUUGAAUACUGGAAUGCGAAAGAGGGAAGUCGUUGUACGUUUUUGGGAGAUUCAUUAUCGUAUAAUGCUCAUCAAUUUUCAACGAGAAUGAUGUGCUUUAAAUCACUCAUUGACCUUAACAGGAUAACGGGAGCUCAUCGUGCCAGAUAGCGCUACAUCACGUUUGACCUUCCUCAGACUAAACAGUGUGUCUAAUGGGAAAAUGAUUGCCACAUUAUAACCUUCAUAGAAUGAACUAAAACCAUCUGCACUAUAGCCCAAUAACAAUCGAGUUUGAUGGAAGAGAAACCCCUAUUGAAGACUUUGCUACAUGCUCCAGCAAACCUGCACUACCGAGAACUAAUAGUAUGCACAUCAAAAAGGGCUGCAACUGCCGCUUGCUAUUGUUUUCUUUCAUCCGAAACAUGGCCAUCCGAAGCAUGUACCGAACGGUAGAUGUUUCAUAGUGGUCGAAAGGGGCGCGGAUGACGUCGUCCAUUUUCAUACAUUUUCGAAAAGGCUACGAUGCGGAACGACUUGUAUGCACACAUCCACAGCGGGUUUCGUGCGGCCGGAACCGGAUAGCCGCGUAGCACAAGCGUGACAAACAUCUAAAAGGUGUUUAUAUGUCCGCAAACGCCAAACGGAAGGUGUUAAUCGAUUGACUAAAGUAAGCCCGACCGAUGACGGUGGAGCGCUAUGUUCCGAAGUGUGCUCUAUGUGAAAUCCAGCACGCGUAUCGUGCCUAGAUGGCAUGUGAGAGCCGGCGCCUUGCCGCCAUCGCCAUCGCGGUGGUCUAGCCUUAUGUCACGACAAUCUAGGGUGCGGAUCGUGAUUAACGGCACG